rnacentral:lncRNA from 1 species
UCGCUGCCUCGUUUUGAUUGGAAUGGCAAGGUUCGUUUGCUUUUAAGUUAGAUUGGUUAGCUGCAUAGUUAUGUCUUCCUCACUACUUACUUGCGAUUUUGGUUGUCUUGUUUGCCGAUUUAAGGUGUCAUAGCAUUUUCUCAUCAUCGCUAUCUCUAUAUCAUAGGAUCUGUUUAUGUUCCUGCAUUACUUGGAUGCCGGCUGUGCUCUCUUGUAUUUCAGUCAUUAAUGUAUGUUUACAACUCAC